rnacentral:pre_miRNA from 1 species
UUUAAGUGCGACCAUAAAUUUAACGUUUAAUUUUGAUUGUUCGUUUUAUUUUAAAAGUUUUUAUAAUUAGUAUUUUGGUUGUUAUGAGAUGAUAAAAUAUGAAUAGUACUUUACUCAAGACUUAUGUUUUUUAUUUUUUUAAAAAAAUUAAAUAAAAUGGACGAUUAAAUUUGGGCGCGAAAAAACCAUGCCUGUACUCAAA